AUUAUCGUGCACUAGAGUUGAAAGUAUCUUUCUUAAAGCGUCAGAAUCCUCGUAUCGCAUCGUACGCAACAGAUACAAGAUACAAAAUUUUAAUAAUAAAAAAAAAAUAAUAAAAAAGUACCUUACUCUUUAUACUUUUUUUGUUUAGGUUUUUUUUUGUUUAAAUUCAGUUUUAUAUCUUUUGGUUGUUUAUUGUUAAACAGAAGAAAAAAAAAAGUUGAUUGAUCUUUUAUUUUUUUUUUUUUCAAAAAUAGGAUCCCCCUCCUUGUCCGGAAGUGUGUUCUUCUUCUCGCCUUGAGAUUGAUUUUUUAUAUAAAUAUUUUCUAGUGAUUUUCAAAAGAAUAUUCAAUUAAAAUCUGUCAUGCUGUAGUCCUUAAAGAUUAUCCUUUCAAAGGAUUACUUUUGUCAACACAAAAAAAAAAAUAAAAACAAAACACCGUGUGUGUCGUCGCGUGAUUUGAAAAAAAAGUAGAUAUCCUCAGAAAUAUUAUGAAAAAAAGAUUCUACCCAACAACAAUAAGUUGUAGUGAGAAAAUAUCGUCAUCGUCAUUGUCAUUGUCGUCCUUUAGAAAACCUUUGUAUCUAUCGAUUGUUGGAACGAUCAUAAAACAAAUUUCUCUUUGCUUCAAACUACAGUGAAAAGUUUGAUAUUUUUCUUCUUCAUAGAAAAAUGCUUUUAAGUUUAAAAAUAAAUAAAAAUUGAAGUGCUCUUGGAAACGUAGUUUAAGUGGAAUAUUUUUUAUUAAAUAAAGAAAAAUAAGGAAAAGUAUCUUUUUAAAAGUGACAACCCCCAAGUGAACCCAAAAAAUUUAUAUUGGAUUAGCCGCUGCGUUCUUUUAAAAGAAACAAUAACACAAAAAAUAUAUAAAUUAAAAAUCAUACAUCGUACACAUUACAUAACAUAAAUUACACAUCAUUGUUGUUGUUUUUGUUAUAAACGCUCUAAACAAAUCCAGCUGAUUCACCGAGCUUUAAACGGUGAACUUAAAAUGCUAUUUUGCGCAAAAAGACGAAGGAAAUACCUAAUUUAGGUAAAAAAAAACAAGAGAAUAAAUUUAAAAAAAAAUACAACUCAAGUGUUCUUAUAUAUAUUCAAAUGGCCACAAAUAUAAAUUUUAGUGAAUGAGAAAAUAGUUAUCUACAAUUAUAUAAUUAUUUAUAUACAACAAAAAAAAAAGAAAAAAAAACAACAAGAAAA